UUUAAGUUACGUACUGCUGGGUCAUCCUUUCAGAAGACAGAAGAAAUUAUUGCGGCCGAACAUUGUGAAGGCUUUUACUUGGGCUCUUUGGAAUGAAAGAAAGCAAAAAAUCAUUGCUGAAAAGGACCGUAUCUGGAAGAAUGGCUUUGACCAUGUUAUAUUUGUUGCUCCACCUGGGUCUACCGUAAAUGUGCAAACAGCAAUAGGCUAAAGCCAAGUGGAAGUAAGAUCAUCAGAUGAACAUCAACAAGAGAAACUCCUGGUUUAUUAUACCCCAUUAAAUAAUUGGCCAAAAGGCCCAAGGCCAUCCCUAAAUAAACAAUUGGCCAUAGGAAAAAAGAAAACAAGAAGAAGUUCGGUGAUCCUUCCUAAACCAGACUGCAAAUAUUACAUAGUAUAGCGGCGCUGAAAUUAAGAGUUCAUAGCUGCUCACUUCCUAUGCAACACAAAACUCCCAAAAUAAAUAACAA